rnacentral:rRNA from 1 species
UACGUAGGGGGCAAGCGUUGUCCGGAUUUAUUGGGCGUAAAGGGCGCGUAGGCGGCCACGCGUGUCUUUCGUGAAAUCCCCGGGCUCAACCCGGGAACUGCGUCCGAUACUGGAAGGCUUGAAUCCGGGAGAGGGAUGUGGAAUUCCAGGUGUAGCGGUGAAAUGCGUAGAUAUCUGGAGGAACACCGGUGGCGAAGGCGACAUCCUGGACCGGUAUUGACGCUGAGGCGCGAAAGCCAGGGGAGCAAACGGG